GAUGAAGAACGUAGCGAAGUGCGAUAAGUAAUGUGAAUUGCAGAAUUCCGUGAAUCAUCGAAUCUUUGAACGCAAAUUGCACUUUCUGGUAUUCCGGAGAGUAUGCCUGUUUGAGGGUCAGUGUAAUAAAUAAAUCGUGGUUGUUACCACCUUUCGUGGUGACGCUUCGGAAUUGAGUCCUCUUACCCUUCGGGUUAAGUGACUUAAAAUUUUUUCAUACGAUUUCGAAACGUAUUUAAUGUAUUAUGUACGUUCACGAAUAUCGAAUGUUUAUUAGGUGCGGUCAUUUUUCAUGAAUUCGCGUCUAUAAUUUUUUUUUUUGACCUCAAAUCAGGUAAGAAUACCCGCUGAACUUAAGCAUAUCAAUAAGCGGAGGA
rnacentral:misc_RNA from 1 species